CUUGUUCCUAGUUCUCUAGACAUGGUGAUGUAUUCUGUUUUUGAACUUAGUUUUUGUAUGCUUUUUCUUUUCCAACCUUAUGCAGAGCGCUCACUGUGUCACAUCCAGAAAAGGCAUGCAGACCUACAAGGGCAUCACAUUUGUCUUCGCCAAGAUGGGCAUGUAGCUUGGUAAUAUCAGUAAUGUGUGUGUCUCUCCCCUUGGCUGUAUGGAAAUGGAGGUGGCCAUCAAUGUGGCUGCAGAAAGCUAGAGCCAGCACGAAGACAUCGGUGUCUGGGCUCUUGAUUACCAGGUCAUGGCUGUGCUUGGCUGCAUGGGCUGCAUGCAGAAUCAUUCUGGUGUCUGCCUCCUCUUGACUUGUCUCUAGGUCUUUGAGUUCCAGUAUCUCAAGGUCAGUAUAGCUCACAUUCAUCUUAAUGGCGUGACACUUGCUUCCAUGUGCAACAAUGAUGGUUAUAUUGCCAAUUAUAUUCUUUGCAGUUAAGCUCCAAUGUUGGAAGAAAUACUCCAGUAAGUUUUCUUUAUUUUGGCCACAUGCCAGAAAUUUUUUCCAUUGCUUUGGGGUUUUUUGGUCCUCUCCAUAGAUUUUGAUUUUUUGGUAGCCCUGUUCUGCGCGCCGACUACGCUCAGCAUUUUUGAUGCUCAGGUCGCUGUAUGUGUCACAUACAAAAUGAAGCUCUGUUGACUUUGUUGCCUUAGCUGAGUGAACUAAUGUGUUCAGUACAUGAUCAGCAUACAACCCAAAUGUUGGCUGUGGCUUUAGUUGUUGCACCAGAGCCAUAGCAUCCCAAAUCCAAACUGAGCCAUCAGGAAUGUCAAUCACUGUUGCAGGCGGGUUGAUCUCAUCUAGCAAGAUGUGCAUCAGCUUAGCUUUGUUGGUUUUGACCAGAGAGCCAUCAAAGUUGGAAAUUGACUGUGGAAAAGGACCCAAACUGGUCAUGGAAUGAUGCUUGGCCAUGGACUAUCCUUUUUUCACAGAAUUCAGUGAGUGCCUUAACACCUCUUUGUUUAGCCCCUAGUAAGUCUGUGGCAACAUUUUCUGAUGCCUGUUGGCCAGAAGAGAUGUGACAAAGAGAAUCUCCAUCCAGCAAUGGGUCAAAAGGGUUAACCAUAUUUUGGAUAGUGGCCACAAUGUUCAUCACAUCAGCCUGAUCUCUCUGCAUUCUGGUGUUGUCUAGCUCAGAGUUAAGAUGUCCUACCGGGCACUUUCCUGCCAUUGUUUUGCAUUCAAAAGUGAUUGCUGCCCGCUCAUGUUGUGUUAGGGUCCAGCGGUGAACUGCACCCUUGUUCAGAGAGAACCCACUGAUGCCUCCCUUUGUCUUCGAGUCACGAUUGGCUGUUUGCUCAAUGACUUGAUCACAUGCUGUGCCAGCAAAACCAUGACUUUGAUGUCUUUGUGCCACAAAGUCACCUGAAAGAAGCUGCUGGUGUGCUGAAGGGCAAAAAACCAGGGCAGCAUACUUUGCACAGUGGACAAAUGGAGAGCCCAGUUCCCCUCUCUUGUUGCCCUGAUGAAAAGAAGCAAAUCUUCCAUCAUGUCAAGGUAUGUGCUCCAAAAUGCAAAUGUGUGGUUACAGUUGUUUUUCACCACAAAUUCUUCAUAACCUUGCAGUAACUGCUGAAAUGUGUCUGAUGUUAGCAUGCCCUUGAACUCUUCAGAGGGAAACACUCCUGCAGAUCUGUUGCCACUUUUAAAGCAGCUGCAUUUUGUUCUUGUGUGAGUGUGUCCAAGUAUGCCCACCAUCGCAGUUUCUGGAGUGCUUCCAUCAGGAGUUUGUGAGCCCGUAUGCUCCUGUUGUAGUGAUGGCCGGAGAUCACUCCAUCAAUUGAGCCUGCGGCCACCAGGUCAGACUCAAUCAAGAUGUCCUGAAAGCCUGCAUCACCAUACAACUUUCCUAUGCAUGACAGAUACACCAUUGCUGUGUGAAACUCUCCCAUCCUCACUACGAUUCUCUCAGACUGUCAGCAAUGGCAAUGGAGCGGUUCAGGAUGGUGUGGACAGUGUUGAGAUCAGUCGGACUGGCGUCAAUCACUGGUAGGUAGCCAAUAUAUGUAGAUGGUGGUAGUACUGUGUCUUCCUUCAACAUUAUAUUAUACCCAGUCCAUCCAGGAAGGACUUUGCCCUGGGCCUCAGGUACUUUCAGUAAAAAGAAUGCAGCAUCAAUUCUUCUACCAGUAGUUUGGGAAUAUCUGUAUUGGUCCUGAUGGAGAUCAAUCUUCAAUGCAAAAUUCUGUGGACCAGACCGCUUUCCUCUUGUGUAUGUUGAAAGAUUCAGUGGAGGAGGAUGAACCGACCGCUCUCGUGUUCUUUGUCUGGGUAAUGUGUCUGGUAAGGAUGCUGUAUAACUAUUUAUGGCCCUCUGAAUUAUUAUACCAUUGGUGUUAUGUGUUGUCCCUUUACCUGAAAGAGUCUCCUCUCCAAAGUCAUUAUUGUCCCAGACAAGAGUCACCGGCACUUCAUCACUGAUUUUUUCAGGGAUGUAUAUUUCUCCCCUCUCCAUUUGUAGAUGAGCAGGGGCAGUAUCAUGCUCAAGGACCUGGGAAUUAGAUGAGCAGUGACCCAGACCAUUUAACAGCCCUAUAAGCUGUGCAGAGCCAGUCAUAUGCCGAACUGCCAUUGCAAAUGAGGAGGAAGCAGAGGAGACGGCAACUUCAUGCACAAUCUCGUCAGCUGACAGAUUGUCCACAUAUACAAGGUAGGUUGUGGAUGCCUUCAGGAAUUUCAAGAAGGGAUGAGACUUGUGAAGUCUUGACUUAAGUGAGUGUGCCUUAUAAGCUGCAAUGUUCACUCCCUCUGUUUCUUCCACCGAUUUUUUGAAAAGCAAAUUCAGCUUUGACAGUCGAAGUACUUUGCGUUGUUUUAACAGCCUCUCCUCAAUGACUGUUUUGCAGAAGUGCUUGUAUCCGUUUUCAUAUAUGUUUGUUUCUGUUAUCUCAAUUUUGUGUGUGGUCAGAUACCGGGUAUAAUCUCGAUAGCAAGUGAAGUGAUACCGUGCUUCACUAGCCACCAAGUCCCUGUCUUGGAUAUGGAGAAGGAGAGACUCGUCCCUUUUCCCUUCAGCGGCGAGUAGCAAUUUCCCGGCAUGGAGUGUUUCACACUGUGUUAGCUUUUCUUUUACCCUUUUCCUACUGUGUGACUAAACCUUGUACUUCUCAUGUUUGCAUAUAAUGCAUUGUACUGGAAGCAGGUGUGGGGCCCGCUUGAACGUGCAGGAAUCACGGGCUUAAGAUCUCAGAGCCCGUGUUUUAACUGGAGUUGCAUCACCAUCCUCUGCCUCUACCACUAAAAGUGCAAAACAAUAGAUUUAGGUUCUGCACCCUUCCCCACAUUACUGAUUAAAGAAAAAUGGUUUGUAACUUUCAGCAGGGUAUAUUGGUUCCACCUGUUCCCUUAACAUGGGUAAUAAACCUGUUUCACAGCU